UAUAAUACAUUAUUAUAUAAUUAUUAAUAUAUUUAUAAAUAUAGAAUGCUACUUUUUCUCAUUUAUAAUAUAUUCUAAAUUUAAUUAAAUAUUUUAAAUAUAUUUAGUUUUUCAUAUAAGAUAUUAAUUAAAUAAAAUUAGAUUGUUAUAUGUUUUUAAUAAUUUGAUGAGUCAUACAUAAUAAUUUGACAUUGAAAAUAUAAAAUUAAUAAUUGGAUAAAAUUUAAGAUAAAUUAAAUUUAAAUUAAAUUAAAUUUUAUUAAAAUGUAAAUAAAAAAUUAAUUUAUUGUAUUUUAAGAAAAAAAAAUUAUUGUGUUCCUACAGUGAUAG
rnacentral:lncRNA from 1 species